GACGAACGCUGGCGGCGUGCUUAACACAUGCAAGUCGAACGGAAAGGCUCCAGCUUGCUGGAGUACUCGAGUGGCGAACGGGUGAGUAACACGUGGGUAAUCUGCCCUGCACUCUGGGAUAAGCCUGGGAAACUGGGUCUAAUACUGGAUAUGACCUUUCUCCUUAUGGGGUUUGGUGGAAAGUUUUUCGGUGUAGGAUGAGCCCGCGGCCUAUCAGCUUGUUGGUGGGGUGAUGGCCUACCAAGGCGACGACGGGUAGCCGGCCUGAGAGGGUGAUCGGCCACAUUGGGACUGAGAUACGGCCCAGACUCCUACGGGAGGCAGCAGUGGGGAAUAUUGCACAAUGGGCGGAAGCCUGAUGCAGCGACGCCGCGUGAGGGAUGACGGCCUUCGGGUUGUAAACCUCUUUCAGCAGGGACGAAGCGUAUGUGACGGUACCUGCAGAAGAAGCACCGGCUAACUAUGUG
rnacentral:rRNA from 1 species